GACGAACGCUUGCGGCGUGCUUAACACAUGCAAGUCGAACGGAAAGGCCCUGCUUUUGUGGGGUGCUCGAGUGGCGAACGGGUGAGUAACACGUGAGUAACCUGCCCUUGACUUUGGGAUAACUUCAGGAAACUGGGGCUAAUACCGGAUAGGAGCUCCUGCUGCAUGGUGGGGGUUGGAAAGUUUCGGCGGUUGGGGAUGGACUCGCGGCUUAUCAGCUUGUUGGUGGGGUAGUGGCUUACCAAGGCUUUGACGGGUAGCCGGCCUGAGAGGGUGACCGGCCACAUUGGGACUGAGAUACGGCCCAGACUCCUACGGGAGGCAGCAGUGGGGAAUAUUGCACAAUGGGCGGAAGCCUGAUGCAGCAACGCCGCGUGCGGGAUGACGGCCUUCGGGUUGUAAACCGCUUUCGCCUGUGACGAAGCGUGAGUGACGGUAAUGGGUAAAGAAGCACCGGCUAACUACGUGCCAGCAGCCGCGGUGAUACGUAGGGUGCGAGCGUUGUCCGGAUUUAUUGGGCGUAAAGGGCUCGUAGGUGGUUGAUCGCGUCGGAAGUGUAAUCUUGGGGCUUAACCCUGAGCGUGCUUUCGAUACGGGUUGACUUGAGGAAGGUAGGGGAGAAUGGAAUUCCUGGUGGAGCGGUGGAAUGCGCAGAUAUCAGGAGGAACACCAGUGGCGAAGGCGGUUCUCUGGGCCUUUCCUGACGCUGAGGAGCGAAAGCGUGGGGAGCGAACAGGCUUAGAUACCCUGGUAGUCCACGCUGUAAACGGUGGGUACUAGGUGUGGGGUCCAUUCCACGGGUUCCGUGCCGUAGCUAACGCUUUAAGUACCCCGCCUGGGGAGUACGGCCGCAAGGCUAAAACUCAAAGGAAUUGACGGGGCCCCGCACAAGCGGCGGAGCAUGCGGAUUAAUUCGAUGCAACGCGUAGAACCUUACCUGGGUUUGACAUGGAUCGGGAGUGCCCAGAGAUGGGUGUGCCUCUUUUGGGGUCGGUUCACAGGUGGUGCAUGGCUGUCGUCAGCUCGUGUCGUGAGAUGUUGGGUUAAGUCCCGCAACGAGCGCAACCCUUGUUCACUGUUGCCAGCACGUUAUGGUGGGGACUCAGUGGAGACCGCCGGGGUCAACUCGGAGGAAGGUGGGGAUGACGUCAAGUCAUCAUGCCCCUUAUGUCCAGGGCUUCACGCAUGCUACAAUGGCUGGUACAGAGAGUGGCGAGCCUGUGAGGGUGAGCGAAUCUCGGAAAGCCGGUCUCAGUUCGGAUUGGGGUCUGCAACUCGACCUCAUGGAGUCGGAGUCGCUAGUAAUCGCAGAUCAGCAACGCUGCGGUGAAUACGUUCCCGGG
rnacentral:rRNA from 1 species